GGGGCCGACUGGUAUCGACCGGACAGGGAAGGCAAGUGGUGGCGCGUCGAGGUGUACGUCUCCUCGUAAAUCCACGUGCAAACCAAUAAAUGCCAACGAUAACAUCGCUGGUCGUAUCGGCUUCGCGCCGGCACGCCUCGCUGCUUAAUAGCAGCACAUCCUCGGCUUAGUUCUCCAGUGACUGGCUUUGGGUGAAUGAUUAGCUGGAUCGCUCGCGUGUCAUGCCCCGGGGCACGCGGGUUAAAACUCAGGGGCUGGGCAACGUGCAGGGUGUCACUCCUCGGCAUGGAGCCAAGAAACAAACGAAUGACUACACGCGUAGAAGGUACUCGCUGACUGUCUCGGCACGGGGGUUCGAAUCCCCCCGGCUCCA
rnacentral:tmRNA from 1 species